UACGUAGGGGGCAAGCGUUGUCCGGAUUUAUUGGGCGUAAAGCGCUCGCAGGCGGCCCGAUGCGUCGUGCGUGAAACACCCCGGCUCAACUGGGGAGGGUCGUGCGAUACGAUCGGGCUUGAGGCCAGUAGGGGGAUGCGGAAUUGCCGGGUGUAGGCGGUCGGGAAUGCGUAGAGAUCCGGAAGAACACCGGUGGCGAAGGCGGCCUGCUGGGCAGUGAGC
rnacentral:rRNA from 1 species